rnacentral:rRNA from 1 species
ACUCAAAUGAAUUGACGGGGACCCGCACAAGCGGUGGAUGAUGUGGAUCAAUUCGAUGCAACGCGAAGAACCUUACCUACCCUUGACAUGCCAGGAAGCCGGAUGAGAGUUCGGUGUGCCCGAAAGGGAGCCUGGACACAGGUGCUGCAUGGCUGUCGUCAGCUCGUGUCGUGAGAUGUUGGGUUAAGUCCCGCAACGAGCGCAACCCUUGUCACUAGUUGCUACGCAAGGGCACUCUAGUGAGACUGCCGGUGACAAACCGGAGGAAGGUGGGGAUGACGUCAAGUCCUCAUGGCCCUUAUGGGUAGGGCUUCACACGUCAUACAAUGGCGCAUACAAAGGGCUGCCAACCCGCGAGGGGGAGCCAAUCCCAGAAAGUGCGUCGUAGUCCGGAUUGCAGUCUGCAACUCGACUGCAUGAAGUCGGAAUCGCUAGUAAUCGCGGAUCAGCAAUGCCGCGGUGAAUACGUUCCCGGGUCUUGUACACACCGCCCGU